rnacentral:rRNA from 1 species
UACGAAGGGGGCUAGCGUUGCUCGGAAUCACUGGGCGUAAAGCGCACGUAGGCGGGUCGUUAAGUCAGGGGUGAAAUCCUGGAGCUCAACUCCAGAACUGCCCUCGAUACUGGCGAUCUCGAGUCCGGGAGAGGUGAGUGGAACUCCGAGUGUAGAGGUGAAAUUCGUAGAUAUUCGGAAGAACACCAGUGGCGAAGGCGGCUCACUGGCCCGGUACUGACGCUGAGGUGCGAAAGCGUGGGGAGCAAACAGG